AACGAACGCUGGCGGCAUGCCUAACACAUGCAAGUCCAACGAGACCUUCGGGUCUAGUGGCGCACGGGUGCGUAACGCGUGGGAACCUGCACUUAGGUUCGGAAUAACUCCCCGAAAGGGGUGCUAAUACCGGAUAAUGUCUUAGGACCAAAGAUUUAUCGACUUUGGAUGGGCCCGCGUUGGAUUAGCUAGUUGGUAGGGUAAAAGCCUACCAAGGCGACGAUCCAUAGCUGGUCUGAGAGGAUGAUCAGCCACUCUGGGACUGAGACACGGCCCAGACUCCUACGGGAGGCAGCAGUGGUGAAUGUUGGACAAUGGGCGGAAGCCUGAUCCAGCAAUGCCGCGUGAGUGAUGAAGGCCUUAGGGUUGUAAAGCUCUUUUACCCGUGAUGAUAAUGACAGUACCGGGAGAAUAAGCUCCGGCUAACUCCGUG
rnacentral:rRNA from 1 species